UUGAAGAGGUUAUCGUGAUCGAUUUAUUUUGAAUUAAAAUAGCUUGUUUGUUUUAAGAGUAAGAAAAAUAUUUUGAUAAUUAAGUAAUUGAAGAGAAUAGGUUUAUAGAACUAUAGAGUAAAGUAUUGUGAAAGAAAGCUGAAAUAAUUUAUAUAUUGAAUAAUGUUAAAGUAAAAGUAAAGUUUUGUACCUUGUGUAUCAGGGAUGUUUAAUAUUAUGUAAUGAUUAUAUUAUUCCCGAAAGGAAGAUAGCUAAAUUAUAAUUUAAGUUUUUGUUGUAAAAAGAUUCAAAAUUUUAUUUUAGUAGUGAUAUGUUAGACGGGCUUUCUGAUAUCUGGUUCUUUGUGAAAUAAAUUUAAUUUAGUAUUUAUAUUUAUGUAGUAUAAUUAGUUGGAGUAGAAGGGUUAAGCUUUUUAUUUAAUUUUUAUGGGAGCAAUAGAAGGAAGAUGUUUAAUUAGGCUUAGAAGUAGCUAUAUUUAUAAAGUGUUAUUAUUAAGAUUUUUUUAGUUUAAUAUUUUUUGUUCUUUAAAUAAGUAAGAGAGAGUAUUUAAAAUUGUAGCUUAGGUAUUUAAAAUGGUUGUAUUAGUAUAUAAUGAUUUAUGAAGUUUAUUAUGAAAUGGUGUGAAAUUAUAAAAAGUUCAUUAUUUAAUAAAGGAAUUCGGCAAAUUUACUUUCGCCUGUUUAUCAAAAACAUGUCUGUAUGGGGGUUUAUAGAGUCUGGCCUGCCCAUUGGGUUACUAAAAGGCCGCGGUAUAGUGACCGUGCGAAGGUAGCAUAAUCAUUAGUCUUUUAAUUGAAGGCUUGUAUGAAUGGUUGGACGAGAAGUAAUCUGUCUCUGUUGAAAAAAUUGAAUUUAACUUUUAAGUGAGAAGGCUUAAAUAAUCUAGAGGGACGAUAAGACCCUAUAAAGUUUAAUAUUAUAACAAUAGAGAAUUAAUUAGGUUAUAAGAUUUAUUAUUGUAGGUAGUAUUUUGUUGGGGCGACAAGAACAUAAAUAAUUUAACUGUUCUUUUUUGUAUCAAAAAUAUUUGAGUUGAUGAUCUUUUUAAGAGUAUUAGAGUAAAUUACUUUAGGGAUAACAGCGUAAUUUUUUUUGAGAGUUCUUAUCGACAAAAGAGUUUGCGACCUCGAUGUUGAAUUAAAGAUUCUUUAUAGCGCAGAAGUUAUAUAAGAAGGUCUGUUCGACCUUUAAAUCUUUACAUGAUUUGAGUUCAGACCGGUGUGAGCCAGGUUGGUUUCUAUCUUUUAGAGUAGUGAGAGUUAUUUUAGUACGAAAGGAUUGAAUAGCCGAAAUAAUUUUUUGUUUAUAAAGUGUAGAAUUAGUUAUAUAGUGUUAAUAUAUUCAGAGAAAAAAGAAAAUCUUUUAU
rnacentral:rRNA from 1 species